GAUGGGCCUCUUUCCUGGGAAGUUUGGGAGGACAGACUUCCAUCAAAGGAGUUUCCUCGGUGGCAGCCCGAAAUGGUGGCCUUGGGUGAUAUGGAAUCUGACUGGAAUGUUUCACAAACCACCUGGAGUCCCUUUUGGAGUAUCUAUAGGAGAGUUACACAUCAAGAAUUCAUCAUACCGAGGUGAACUGAAUAGAAGCAUGAGGCUAAAAUGGAAGCACCAGAUGUUGGAAAUGACCGAAUUCAUGCUGCACAAGAAUUACAACCAUAUCAAGACAGCUACCAGUAGGGAGAUUACAAAAGGCUGAAGAUUGUCAAGCAUACUCAAUUUCAAAGAUGUUAAAUGUGAAAUGUAUACAUCUUCCAGCAUAUAAAUCACAUUGUCUGUACUUAGUAAUUGCUCAGUAAGUGGUAGAUGUAAUAGGACUCCAAAAUUUCCAGGUUGGAAGGUAAAAAGGGUGAUGACAUUCCUGGCAGUAAUAACAGCUGGAAAGAGGACCCAAUUUUGUUGGAAGGCAGCAAGUUUCACUUUGUACAUGUUGAACUGAAAGUGAAAGCAGGUCAUUUAAUGGCAUAAGUUAAUGGUAGUAUUGAUUUCUAUGUGGCUUUCAAUUACUGUGGCUUUCAUUUCUUUUCUUGACCAAAUAUGACAAAUUUGCACUGAAUUAUAUUCUGCAUCUUAUAUCAUAUUUUGCAUCUUCUGUUGUGUAUGGGUUAGUCUUGACCCCUCAUUAAACUUUAGAUUCUUUGAGGGGUAGGACUAUCUUACACCUCCUUCCAACUCCCUCCUCCUGACCUCCAGCAGCAAUAUUCUGCCUACCUCAGUUACUUAACAAACAUCAGGGGAUUCAAUAAUCGAGAGCAAGGUGAUAUGUUAUCUAAUCUGGGAUGUAAUGAUAACUAACACUUAUUGAGUGUUACAUGCUCGUCACUGAGAUAAAGCACAACUCAUUAAACACUAACCACUGAGAUAAAACACUAGUUGUAUUUUGCCUUGUUUCAGCACCUCCAUGCUUUGGGGAGAUACAGAAAAUUAAUUUUCAUACACGACUGAUAAAAACCUGAGGCUUUUAAAAAUUGCACAUUCAGGAAAGAGGAGUGGGUUUGAGCCUGGUAGUAUGAUUCUAGAAUUCAUAUCUUUCCCUUUACACUACAUUAUGUCUAAGGACUUACUGCCUCCCUUCUUAUGAUUAUAAUAA